ACUACCAUCAGCUAUAACUGCUCAAUUAUUGCAGCUACUGUCACAUCGGUUCACCAGAUUAAUAAACUUCCCAAUUUCACAUCGGUUAAUUAGGUGUGCAAUAGAGAGUAGUUAUGCGUCACAUCGGUUCACCAGAUUAAACUUCUCAAUUUCACAUACAUCAGUUAAUUAGGUGUGCGAUAGAGAGUAGCUAUCCGUCUGCAUCAACUUUUCAGUUACUGAAUACUACUGCUACCACAUGCCUGCAGUUACUACCACUGCAGAAAACAAGCUAGUGCCAUGCUUUCAAGUUCAGACAGAGGAAAGGAGGGG
rnacentral:lncRNA from 1 species